AUUGAACGCUAGCGGGAUGCUUUACACAUGCAAGUCGAACGAGUGGCGGACGGGUGAGUAAUAUAUCGGAACGUGCCCAGUAGAGGGGGAUAACUACUCGAAAGAGUGGCUAAUACCGAAUACUAUUGGAGCGGCCGAUGUCGGAUUAGCUAGUUGGUGGGGUAAAUGCGCACCAAGGCAACGAUCCGUAGCUGGUUUGAGAGGACGACCAGCCAUAUGGGGACUGAGACACGGCCCAGACUCUUACUGGAGGGAGCAGUGGGGAAUUUUGGACAAUGGGGGAAACCCUGAUCCAGCCAUCCCGCGUGUAUGAGAAGGCUUUCGGGUUGUAAACCUCUUUCGCUAUCGAACGGGUAGGUGGAGAAGAAGCGCCGGCUAACUACGUGCCAGCCGCCGCGGUAAUAC
rnacentral:rRNA from 1 species